rnacentral:rRNA from 1 species
AGUUUGACUGGGGCGGUCUCCUCCCAAAGAGUAACGGAGGAGCACGAAGGUGGGCUAAUCACGGUUGGACAUCGUGAGGUUAGUGCAAUGGCAUAAGCCCGCUUAACUGCGAGAAUGACGGUUCGAGCAGGUGCGAAAGCAGGUCAUAGUGAUCCGGUGGUUCUGUAUGGAAGGGCCAUCGCUCAACGGAUAAAAGGUACUCCGGGGAUAACAGGCUGAUACCGCCCAAGAGUUCAUAUCGACGGCGGUGUUUGGCACCUCGAUGUCGGCUCAUCACAUCCUGGGGCUGAAGUCGGUCCCAAGGGUAUGGCUGUUCGCCAUUUAAAGUGGUACGCGAGCUGGGUUUAGAACGUCGUGAGACAGUUCGGUCCCUAUCUGCCGUGGGCGUUGGAAGAUUGAAGGGGGCUGCUCCUAGUACGAGAGGACCGGAGUGGACGAACCUCUGGUGUUCGGGUUGUGUCGCCAGACGCAUUGCCCGGUAGCUAAGUUCGGAAUUGAUAAGCGCUGAAAGCAUCUAAGCGCGAAGCGAGCCCUGAGAUGAGUCUUCCCUGAUACUUUAAGUAUCCUAAAGGGUUGUUCGAGACUAGAACGUUGAUAGGCAGGGUGUGUAAGCGUUGUGAGGCGUUGAGCUAACCUGUACUAAUUGCCCGUGAGGCUUAACCAUACAACACCCAAGGGGUUUUGUA